UACGUAGGGGGCAAGCGUUGUCCGGAUUUAUUGGGCGUAAAGAGCGUGUAGGCGGCCUGGUAGGUCAGCUGUGAAAACUCGAGGCUCAACCUCGAGACGUCGGUUGAAACCACUUGGCUAGAGUCCGGAAGAGGAGAGCGGAAUUCCCGGUGUAGCGGUGAAAUGCGCAGAUAUCGGGAGGAACACCGGUGGCGAAGGCGGGUCUCUGGGCCGGAACUGACGCUAAGGAGCGAAAGCGUGGGGAGCGAACAGG
rnacentral:rRNA from 1 species